UCUUUGACAUGUCUUGCAUGGCAGGCUCCCCGCACAUAUGUGCGGCCAACUGUCAUGGGGCUGUCUUCUCAGUAUCCCCUCGUUUAUCCGUUUUGGUUGCUUGGGGUGCCCCAAAUUCGGUUGCCUGUGCGGUCUUACCGUCGUUGGUAUCAAAACGGUCCCUUUGUUUCGAAUUAUGCUUGCUCUGUUGAUGCUAUGCGUCGAUGAGCAGCCGAGGUGUUUGCAAAUUCCAUGCGCUGCGAUGCACUCUUGUGCGUCGAAAGUGCUUAUCGGAUGUUUGCUGGGUCUCACGGAUAUCAGUCCCUACGUUGAGUGGUUGCGGGCUUCAAGCGUGCAGGCUCAUGGUGUUGCCCGUACACAGAUUUGUUGCUGACGGUUACUUGACAUGUCGUGACCCUUAGGGAUUCAUGUUGAUGAAACGCCAGCAACAAAUUUGUGAGCGUGUGCAUAUCCUUACCGACCGACUCGAACGAUACGCGAUUGCCGUAUGCAUUGUCGGGGGG
rnacentral:misc_RNA from 1 species